AAUGAAACUUGUUAAAAGAGGAACAUCUGAAUCUGUAUAAAAUACUCUGAACAAUAUAGACAAUUUGCAAUCUCUAAUACAGCAUAUAUCGUGUCUGUGUUAUAAAUUGACCGACCGGUGUGGGGGUUAAAAUAUCCAACUGUCCAAGGUCCAGCCUAGGCAACAGAACCAGAACCGAACCUAACAGAACUGGUACCAGGAAGCGGGGUACUGAUUGACCAGAUCCAACUCACCCCUUUAUACCUGAGAUGAGGUAUUGGUUAAGCAAUUGGCCGUGAGGAGAAAGACAGGCCCCAUUUACCAAGGUCCAUAUACGGUGGAAAAGGUCCCUUGAAGAUAAAGACCCCAGAAGCCCCGAUGGCUCCCCCCUUGGAGCGAGGGCUCAAGAACAAGGAGGACACAAAGCUAGAAGCCCCGAUGGCUCCCCUCUUGGAGCGAGGGCUCAAGAACAAGGAGGACGCAAAGCUAGAGACCCUGAUGGCUCCCUCCAUAGAGCAAGGGUCCGGGAAAACCAGCACUUAACUGCCAAUCAGGUGUACAAUAGAACGAUACAAGGAGGGAAAUAUUGUGGACUAUUGCUUAUACUGUUUGUGGUGACCGCUUUUGUGGUUUGCUACUUCACCCCAGGUUGAUACAUAAGAUAGGAAAAGGCCAAGACCCAAAAUUAGUCAUAGUAAGGAAAAGAUUCAUACCAUUUAGAUGGCGAACCAAAUUUGGUAUAGUGAGUGAUCCCAAGAAAGUAAACAUUCUUUGGGAUCAGAGGAGGGAUGUAAGGAAUGUGAAAUAAUGGAAUAUUAUAUG